GUGUCCAGUCGACCUUUGCUYUUUGAGUGAUUGUGUUGUACUGGUCUGCCAUGUUUGGGUGGAAUCUGUGUGGCAUUAAGUUGUCGUGCAGGGGAUGCCCAUCGUUUACUGUGAAAAAAUUAGAGUGUUCAAAGCAGGCUUAUGCCGUUGAAUAUAUUAGCAUGGAAUAAUGAUAUAGGACCUUGGUACUAUUUUGUUGGUUUGCGCACUAAGGUAAUGAUUAAGAGGGACAGUUGGGGGUAUUUGUAUUCCAUUGUCAGAGGUGAAAUUCUUGGAUUUUUGGAAGACAAACUAC
rnacentral:rRNA from 1 species